rnacentral:snoRNA from 1 species
AAAAACCAAUAAUCGUGCGGAUUAUACAAACCAGGACUAUAAAACCGUGUUGCUAGUAUGCCCUCUUCGGAGAUCAUGGCGUAAUCCUAGCGUCAAGUCCAUCGGAGAGAUCAUCUCGUUCAUCUCAGCGCUCUUUUGUGAGUCGGUUGCAAUUCCUUCUGGAUGCGCAAAAAACGAUUUGCAAGGGCCGGUAGAACGUACAGAC